UUACAUGCAGUCGAACGGCAGCACGGACUUCGGUCUGGUGGCGAGUGGCGAACGGGUGAGUAAUGUAUCGGAACGUACCUUUCAGUGGGGGAUAACGUAGCGAAAGUUACGCUAAUACCGCAUAUUCUGUGAGCAGGAAAGCAGGGGAUCGCAAGACCUUGCGCUGAUUGAGCGGCCGAUAUCAGAUUAGCUAGUUGGUGGGGUAAAGGCCUACCAAGGCUACGAUCUGUAGCGGGUCUGAGAGGAUGAUCCGCCGCACUGGAACUGAGACACGGUCCAGACUCCUACGGGAGGCAGCAGUGGGGAAUUUUGGACAAUGGGGGCAACCCUGAUCCAGCCAUGCCGCGUGAGUGAAGAAGGCCUUCGGGUUGUAAAGCUCUUUCGGCCGGGAAGAAAUCGCAUAGGCUAAUACCCUGUGUGGAUGACGGUACCGGAAUAAGAAGCACCGGGCUAACUACGUGCCAGCAGCCGCGGUAAUACGUAGGGUGCGAGCGUUAAUCGGAAUUACUGGGCGUAAAGCGUGCGCAGGCGGUUUUAGUAAGACAGGCGUGAAAUCCCCGGGCUCAACCUGGGAACUGCGCUUGUGACUGCUAAGCUAGAGUACGGCAGAGGGGGGUGGAAUUCCACGUGUAGCAGUGAAAUGCGUAGAGAUGUGGAGGAACACCGAUGGCGAAGGCAGCCCCCUGGGCCGAUACUGACGCUCAUGCACGAAAGCGUGGGUAGCAAACAGGAUUAGAUACCCUGGUAGUCCACGCCCUAAACGAUGUCAACUAGGUGUUGGGAGGGUAAAACCUUUUAGUACCGGAGCUAACGCGUGAAGUUGACCGCCUGGGGAGUACGGCCGCAAGGUUAAAACUCAAAGGAAUUGACGGGGACCCGCACAAGCGGUGGAUGAUGUGGAUUAAUUCGAUGCAACGCGAAAAACCUUACCUAUCCUUGACAUGUCAAGAAUUUUGCAGAGAUGUGAAAGUGCUCGAAAGAGAACUUGAACACAGGUGCUGCAUGGCCGUCGUCAGCUCGUGUCGUGAGAUGUUGGGUUAAGUCCCGCAACGAGCGCAACCCUUGUCAUUAGUUGCUACCGCAAGGAGCACUCUAAUGAGACUGCCGGUGACAAAUCGGAGGAAGGUGGGGAUGACGUCAGGUCCUCAUGGCCCUUAUGGGUAGGGCUACACACGUCAUACAAUGGCCGGUACAGAGGGCUGCCAACCCGCGAGGGGGAGCCAAUCCCAGAAAACCGGUCGUAGUCCGGAUCGUAGUCUGCAACUCGACUGCGUGAAGUCGGAAUCGCUAGUAAUCGCGGAUCAGCUUGCCGCGGUGAAUACGUUCCCGGGUCUUGUACACACCGCCCGUCACACCAUGGGAGCGGGUUCUGCCAGAAGUAGUUAGCCUAACCGCAAGGAGGCGCUACCCCGCCAG
rnacentral:rRNA from 1 species